AGGAUGAACGCUGGCGGCGUGCUUAACACAUGCAAGUCGAACGAUGAAGCCGGAGCUUGCUCUGGUGGAUUAGUGGCGAACGGGUGAGUAACACGUGAGUAACCUGCCCUUGACUCUGGGGUAAGCACUGGAAACGGUGUCUAAUACCGGAUACGAGCUUUAGCCGCAUGGCUAGGGAGCGUAGGAAAGUAAUUUCGGUCAAGGAUGGACUCGCGGCCUAUCAGGUAGUUGGUGAGGUAACGGCCACCAAGCCUACGACGGGUAGCCGGCCUGAGAGGGUGACCGGCCACACGUGGGACUGACGACACGGCCCAGACUCCGUACGGGAGGCAGCAGGUGGGGAAUAGUUGCACAAGUGGGCGACAACGCCUAGAU
rnacentral:rRNA from 1 species